rnacentral:rRNA from 1 species
UACGAAGGGGGCUAGCGUUGUUCGGAAUUACUGGGCGUAAAGCGCGCGCAGGCGGUUUUCCAAGUCAGUGGUGAAAGCCCGGAGCUCAACUCCGGAACUGCCAUUGAUACUGCGAAUCUUGAGUCCGAUAGAGGUGGGUGGAAUUCCUAGUGUAGAGGUGAAAUUCGUAGAUAUUAGGAAGAACACCAGUGGCGAAGGCGGCCCACUGGAUCGGUACUGACGCUGAGGUGCGAAAGCGUGGGGAGCAAACAGG